rnacentral:rRNA from 1 species
CAGGCUUAACACAUGCAAGUCGAGGGGCAGCAUGGUCUUAGCUUGCUAAGGCCGAUGGCGACCGGCGCACGGGUGAGUAACACGUAUCCAACCUGCCGUCUACUCUUGGACAGCCUUCUGAAAGGAAGAUUAAUACAAGAUGGCAUCAUGAGUCCGCAUGUUCACAUGAUUAAAGGUAUUCCGGUAGACGAUGGGGAUGCGUUCCAUUAGAUAGUAGGCGGGGUAACGGCCCACCUAGUCUUCGAUGGAUAGGGGUUCUGAGAGGAAGGUCCCCCACAUUGGAACUGAGACACGGUCCAAACUCCUACGGGAGGCAGCAGUGAGGAAUAUUGGUCAAUGGGCGAGAGCCUGAACCAGCCAAGUAGCGUGAAGGAUGACUGCCCUAUGGGUUGUAAACUUCUUUUAUAAAGGAAUAAAGUCGGGUAUGCAUACCCGUUUGCAUGUACUUUAUGAAUAAGGAUCGGCUAACUCCGUGCCAGCAGCCGCGGUAAUACGGAGGAUCCGAGCGUUAUCCGGAUUUAUUGGGUUUAAAGGGAGCGUAGAUGGAUGUUUAAGUCAGUUGUGAAAGUUUGCGGCUCAACCGUAAAAUUGCAGUUGAUACUGGAUAUCUUGAGUGCAGUUGAGGCAGGCGGAAUUCGUGGUGUAGCGGUGAAAUGCUUAGAUAUCACGAAGAACUCCGAUUGCGAAGGCAGCCUGCUAAGCUGCAACUGACAUUGAGGCUCGAAAGUGUGGGUAUCAAACAGGAUUAGAUACCCUGGUAGUCCACACGGUAAACGAUGAAUACUCGCUGUUUGCGAUAUACAGCAAGCGGCCAAGCGAAAGCGUUAAGUAUUCCACCUGGGGAGUACGCCGGCAACGGUGAAACUCAAAGGAAUUGACGGGGGCCCGCACAAGCGGAGGAACAUGUGGUUUAAUUCGAUGAUACGCGAGGAACCUUACCCGGGCUUAAAUUGCAGAUGAAUUACGGUGAAAGCCGUAAGCCGCAAGGCAUCUGUGAAGGUGCUGCAUGGUUGUCGUCAGCUCGUGCCGUGAGGUGUCGGCUUAAGUGCCAUAACGAGCGCAACCCUUGUUGUCAGUUACUAACAGGUUCCGCUGAGGACUCUGACAAGACUGCCAUCGUAAGAUGUGAGGAAGGUGGGGAUGACGUCAAAUCAGCACGGCCCUUACGUCCGGGGCUACACACGUGUUACAAUGGGGGGGUACAGAGGGCCGCUACCACGCGAGUGGAUGCCAAUCCCAAAAACCUCUCUCAGUUCGGACUGGAGUCUGCAACCCGACUCCACGAAGCUGGAUUCGCUAGUAAUCGCGCAUCAGCCACGGCGCGGUGAAUACGUUCCCGGGCCUUGUACACACCGCCCGUCAAGCCAUGGGAGCCGGGGGUACCUGAAGUGCGUAACCGCGAGGAGCGCCCUAGGGUAAAACUGGUGACUGGGGCUAAGUCAUAACA